GCCUGGGUGGUGAAAUUGGUAGACACACGGGACUUAAAAUCCCGCGACUUUAACGGUCGUGCCGGUUCGAUUCCGGCCCCAGGCACCA
rnacentral:tRNA from 3 species